AGUCUUUUAAUUGAUGACUUGUAUGAAAGAUUGGAUGAGAUAUAGACUGUCUCUUUAUUAAAAAUAGAAUUUAAUUUUUUAAUUAAAAAGUUAAAAUAAAUUUAAAAGACGAGAAGACCCUAUAGAGUUUUAUAAUUUAUGUUAAGAAGAUUUUAUAUAAGUAUAAUUAAUUUUUAUAAUAUAAUUUAAUUGAUUGGGGUGAUUAAAAAAUUAAUUGAACUUUUUUUUUAAAAAACAUAGAUAAAUGAAUAUAUUGAUCCAUUAUUAAUGAUUAAAAGAAAAAAUUACCUUAGGGAUAACAGCGUAAUUUUUUUUUUUAGUUCAAAUAAAAAAAAAAGUUUGCGACCUCGAUUUUGGAUUAAGAUAAAAUUUAAAUGC
rnacentral:rRNA from 1 species